CAGGGAGACAAACUUGAUUUUGAUGUCUGAAUUAAUUAUUUUCAGGCCAUAAUCCUGUCACCUUAGGUCGAUCGGUACCUCAGUUUGAUAUCUCAAAACUAUGCAAUUAGUUUCUCUAAGUUAUUGAAUUCAGUUCCUAAACUUGUCUAGGUCACACCCAGCAAUGGUGGUACUCCUGGGCCAUUAGCUCAGGUGGUUAGAGCGCACCCCUGAUAAGGGUGAGGUCCCUGGUUCAAGUCCAGGAUGGCCCAUUCGGUGUUGGGGGUAUAGCUCAGUUGGUAGAGCGCCUGCUUUGCAAGCAGGAUGUCAGCGGUUCGAGUCCGCUUACCUCCACUGAUCAACCCCCUGAUAGCGAAAUCCAAGGAGAUUCAAUGUGAUCUAGAUAAACAUUCUUCAUGAAUUGAACCUAGCUUCUUGUCGUUCCUUUUAAGAGCUAACUCUUGAAUUUGAUUGAUAAGACGCUGGGCUCACUGCAAUUUAAUUGCAGGGAUGUUCAGUAGAACCUUGACAACUGCAUAGGUGAGUUUGGAAAGAAUAAAGCAUCUCAUGGAUACACAUUAUUCUUUUGAAUUGCUCUAGAAUCUUCUAAAUUUUAUUUGGAAUUUUUUGAGUUGUAUUCAAAUUAAAAUGUUUAAUUCUUGAGCAAGAGCCGAGUCUCUAAAUACUCUUUCAAUGUAAUUAAUCAUUGAGAGUUAGAUUUUUAGUUUUCUCCCCUAAUUUUUCUAGUUUUUUACAAUCAAAUUGUUUAAUCCUUGCGAAAUUAGGUUGGCAAAAUUAAAGAAAAAUGUGCUAGUAGCACAUAGUUUUUAAAGAUAUUAU
rnacentral:tRNA from 1 species